AUACAGAGGGUGCGAGCGUUAAUCGGAAUUAUUGGGCGUAAAGGGCACGUAGGCGGUCUUUUAAGCUAAAUGUGAAAGCCCUUGGCUCAACCAAGGAAUUGCAUUUAGAACUGGAAGACUAGAGAGAAGUAGAGGUGAGUGGAAUUUCCAGAGUAGCGGUGAAAUGCGUAGAUACUGGAAGGAACACCGGUGGCGAAGGCGACUCACUGGACUUCUUCUGACGCUGAGGUGCGAAAGCGUGGGUAGCGAACAGGAUUAGAAACCCCAGUAGUCC
rnacentral:rRNA from 1 species